UACAGAGGUCUCAACCGUUGUUCGGAUUCAUUGGGCGUAAAGGGCGCGUAGGCGGCGGGUAAGUCGGGUGUGAAAUCUCAGAGCUCAACUCUGAAACUGCACUCGAUACUGCUCUGCUUGAGGACUGGAGAGGAGACUGGAAUUCACGGUGUAGCAGUGAAAUGCGUAGAUAUCGUGAGGAAGACCCAGUGGCGAAGGCGGGUCUCUGGACAGUUCCCUGACAGUGAGACACCGAAGGCCAGGGGAGCAAACCGGG
rnacentral:rRNA from 1 species